rnacentral:rRNA from 1 species
UAAGGAAUAUUGGUCAAUGGACGCAAGUCUGAACCAGCCAUGCCGCGUGAAGGAUUAAGGCCCUCUGGGUUGUAAACUUCUUUUAUAGGGGAAGUAAUGUGACGGUUCUCCGUCACUUGACGGUACCCUGGGAAUAAGCACCGGCUAACUCCGUGCCAGCAGCCGCGGUAAUACGGAGGGUGCAAGCGUUAUCCGGAUUCACUGGGUUUAAAGGGUGCGUAGGUGGGCAGAUAAGUCAGUGGUGAAAUCUUCCGGCUUAACCGGGAAACUGCCGUUGAUACUAUUUGUCUUGAAUAUUGCGGAGGUAAGCGGAAUAUGUCAUGUAGCGGUGAAAUGCUUAGAUAUGACAUAGAACACCAAUUGCGAAGGCAGCUUACUACACAAUCAUUGACACUGAGGCACGAAAGCGUGGGUAGCGAACA